AUCCAAGUCUUGUUGUGGAGGUUGUUCCUUCUGUGUGGUUUAGCCUUGUUUUGGUCCCUGUGCCUUGAUUUCCAUCAUGGCAGGGAUGUACACAGAGUGAGAUGCUGAGGGGGAACUUGGAGAGGGUCAGAGAGAGCACCAGACCUCAUCAAUGCCUGGCAGUAUCAGCAGAUACUGGAUUUAUUGCUGGGGAAGGAAAGAAGUUGCCAUGACUACUCACCGACUCUAUUAUGUGCAAUGGAGACACUAACUGCCCCCAUGUCAGAGAAUUGCUGAGAACCAGACCCAGAGAGGAUUGCCAAAUUUUCCACUGAAUGCCAGAGGAAGAAGCACUGGGUCACGGUCACAUUGGAGACACCAGCAGUGACAUUAGCAUGUCCAGACCUUCAGUGCAAGCUCUCCAGGAAUUAGAGCAUGUUCUGUGAUGCCUUCACUGCUGUGUCAGCUGAGCUGUGACACCACCACGGUUUUGAUCAGCUUAUUCUACAACUAAAUGCAAAUACAAUGAGUCAAAGAAGGGUGCUGACCAGUCUCUGAAUUCCCCCUAAAACUGAGUUUUGGCUGAGUGAUCAGCAAGAUAGAAUGACUGACACUGGAAUGAGUCUGCAGGGCACACAGCUCGGUGAUUAGUCAGUUCUCAUUACCUCUUCCUCCAAUUAACGUCAGCAAAUCAGUGCUCCUGAAUCAACGAGGACCUCGGGAGAAACGAAGCUUCCCCAAAACGCUGCCAGAUGUCAGCAGAAGCUCCAAUCCCCUCUCCUUGAUGGUUCUGUACUUUUAACACACGUAAUUAACUGUUAACACCGUCCUGUUUCUGUCACUCCAGCCCUUCACCCGUGCUCUGCUGAUGAAUGCUGUUGGUUUAGCUGUGAUGGAGGAGUCUGUGCCCAGCUCUGCUGCCUCCUGCUCCUGCACUUCAUCUCAUUUCCAUGCUCAUCCCAGCCAAGCAGGAGCCCAGCCUGAGAUCCCUUUUGUUACAGCUUCAUCACUCCAUUUGGCUCUUCCUCCCUCCUCCUUGCUGUCUUUGCAGUUUCCCUCCAACAGCAUUUGGCUUUUAUGGUCAGCCUCUGGAAGUGCAAUAUGAGUGAAUUUUCCCCAUUCUUUCCAUGAUACUAUAGGGAAUAUUUUUUAUAUAUUUUUGGUAUCUGCAGGCUGUGGAAGAAGCUCACUUGUCACAGUGCCCUUCAUUACAAAGGUGUGAUUUUUUUCCUCUUUUUUUCCUGUGACUUGUCAAGAAUAAUUAAAUGCUGUGAUUUCUUUGGCCUCCUUUCAAUGGGCAUUUACCCAACUCAUAAAUACAAGAGUAGCUCCCCUGAAAUCUGUUUCCACUCAGGUAGAGUUGUGAAGGUUUGCUCAGUGAUGCUCUGAGGAAAACGAGGAACCCAGAUGGGCUUGAGUUUGAGAGUUAGUUGUUCUCUAAAACCCAAAUAGUGUUGCUCAGAUCAAUUAAUAUUUGCUUAUUAACCUUAAAAAUACAUUCAUCCCUAGGUAUUUUCACAGUCCUCUUUGCUCCCAAAUUGGCAAGGGCAGUGCUGCUGUCCAAAAUAAAUGAAGUGUGUGAAGACAGACAGUUUAAAGGCAUUGAGGAAUUUCAGACCUUUUACAUCUCACUCAGCUUUCACCUAAUUUGUUAAUGGGUAUGUUUUUCCCUGUGGGAAAAUAAAGCUUUUCUCUCUGACAUUUUAUAAAGGACUUACUAAACCUUCUUUUGUCCCUCUGGGUAAAAUCAGUUGAAUUGGCUUUUCUGGUGCCUUUCUGUUUUCCCUAGAGAAUCUGAGUUGGUUCUUAACCCUUUCUGCCCCCCAGGCCUUAUGAACAGUAUGACAGAAACCCUUAAAAGUCUAGGCACAAUGUGGGCAGCUGUAGGUUCACUAGGGAGAGGCUCAUUACUAGGUAAAAAAUUAGAUAUAGAGGUGAAGAGAAGAAUAUUUGCUCAUUUUAGGUGUGAGCUAAAAUAGAAGCUUGAAGAGGGAUGCAUGGUGAGUUUGCAACAUUGCUGGGAAUUUCUGGAUCUCCUGUGGCAUCAGAGAACAGGAUGUGUCCUCAGACCUAAGGGUUUGUGAACAUUUCCAAGUCUCCAGCCACCCUUGGGACACAGGUGUGUGUCACCACCAGGGAUGGCAAACUGGGGACAUUGUGACACUCGUUGCUCCGGGCAGGCGGACACAUCCCCUGUGAAACCUCAGACAAAAUACUCCCAUUUUAACCUACUCUCUGGUGGCAAGAGCAGCUGGGAUGGCUCCUGUGCUCUCUGAUUUAUCCUGACAGGCUAGCAGGGUGUUUGCUGCAUGCUUCCUUGGAAGUUUGUCACAGGCUGACACUCACUGUUCCUGUGAUGCCUCGCAGAGCUCAAUCAAUGUCCUUCCCUGGCUGCAGAGAAGAACAUGCUGAGCCAGCCUUGCAAGCUGCUCCAGCCCUGGGACACCUGAUCCUCAGGCUGAAAGAGCCCUUGGAGCACAAGGUCUGUCUGAUUCUCCAUUUCUCACUUCAUAUUCUGUUUGCUGUCCAUCCUGCUACGUUUCAGGUGCUGAGGAGGGACACGUUGUGUUGGUGUUGCAAAGGUUUUUCUUUGCAAAGGAAAAUAUCUUCAUUCCACAGGUAUUGAUGAAGAAGAGUAUUAAUUUAAAAGCUGCUCUAGAUUAAUGUAGAACAGCAUAAAUAAUGAGCAGGUGCUGUGAAUGAUGAAUGGGAGAAAAUGAUUUGGACUGUUACUGUUCCACUACACAGGGAGUGUUUUACAGGGGACAAGGUGUUUUCUGUGUCAUUUCUGCAUUUGCUUCACUUAACAAUAACCAUUAACUGUCAACUCUUAAAAAAUCAUCUUCUGCUAGGAUGCCAUCAAGAAAGAAGAAGACAAUUUGGAACUUGCUUUGAAAUAUCAUUCUCAUAGGAAUUCAAAGCAUGGUUAUUAUUGUGCUGCUUGGCAAGCUGCUUUUCUGUCAGCUUCCCUGUGAUCCCUUUAGCUCUAUCUGAUACCAAAGGCUUGAGAUCUCCAGAUUAGAAAUUAAAUUCCACCUCUGUGGCCCAGACCUGAUGGCCUGCUGGAGUCACAGCAAAUAGGUUUUCCUUUACAGUGAGUGCUUCCAGCUAAAGCUGUUGCUUUUUGGUCAAAAACUUUUUUGGGAAAAAAAUAUAAUUAAAGCCAUGUGAUGCGGGUGUAGGAAUACUAAUUGACUUGAAACUGAGUAGGGAUUAUUCAGAGUGAUGGCAGGCCCUGAUCUUGCAGGGAUUUAGGUGCUUGCUUUGUUCUGCUGGCAUGUGAGUACACAGGAUGGUCCUGUCCUGGGGGAUUUAGGGGAGGCUGUGGCAUGGCCAGGAGCUGAGCAGUUGGAGCAGCUGGGUGGGAUGCAGCACUUAAAGCAUCAGGGAGCAAUUCCUGCUGCUGAGUUGGGUGUAAACCACAGCAUUUCAGGGGUGGACAGGUCUGGUUUGGGUGUCUGCUGCAGGAACAGCAGCCUGGGGAGGGCAGGAGAGGGAUUUUCCCAUUGUGAUUUCUGCUUUACUUUGCAAAUGUAGAAACUGGGAGUGACUGGUGUCAGGCCUUUGCUGGGAGGUGGGGAUUGAAGAGCCUUAAGGGAAACUGGCAGAAAUCAUGAUUUAAGUGGGAUCACUCUGAAGAUGUCAGUCACUGAGAUGGGCACUCAGCUCUCUGGGUGUCUCUAAUUGUGCUGCUCAUGUUUUGAAUGUGAUAAAAUUGAACAGUACAGUUUUAAACCAGAUUUUUGGCUUUCAAGUGCAAUGUUAAAAUUAUGAAAUCCAGAAAUGGAAGGUGAAUGUAAUUUAUAAUUUUUUUUCCAGUGAGUUCUGAAAACAGUUUUGAACAGUUCACUUAAUUAGCUGGAUUUCCAGCAGUACAAAAUGUGACCAUCUCAAUUUAAUUAACAGCAUAUCUACAUUGUGGUAGUGUGGGGAUUAUGUGGAGGCUGGUAGUAGCCCGAUGGAUUUUCAUCCUGCUCACAUACAAUGUCAUGGUUUAGAUUGUUGUUUUUUUAUUAUGAGCUUUAAUUCUUCUUGCAAGAAUUUCCAGUGUCAUUUCUGCUGACAGAUGCUGCUUAGGACAGAUUUAUUUUUAUUCCCUUACAGAUGAAUUGGAUCAAACAUCUCUUUGCAUAUAGCUCAAGUUUCCACAAUGGAGUUACUCCUAGUUGACUACUCUGGGAAGAAAAUUGUAGUCAUUUUUGUGGCCUUCUUUAGUAACAAUUGAAAUGUUUUUUUGGCAUGUGUGCAUAUAAUCUAUUAACUUACACUUCCUGUCAAUUGCAGGGAUUCAUGAUUAUAAAUAGUAUUAAAAAAAUUUAAUGCAAAUAGAGAGAGAGAGAAAAUCCAGCAUUUGGUCUUUUUUUUUCCUAGCUGGAUUCAGUGAGGUGUUGAAACAUGCAGGGCGUUUGUUUCAGGCUUUGAUAAGGAUCUCUCACAUUCUUAUAUAAAAUGCUAAAUUAACAAUAAUCAGCCCCCACGACUUACAGCCCUGCUCAGUGCAUAGCUUGCCUUUCUCUCAGGCUUCCUCUGAACCCACAGAUCUGAGGGCUUUUUCCCUCUGAUCUGAGAAAGCAAAAUUCCUGACAAAACUAAUGACUUGGGGCUCCUGCAGAAUUUUAAAACCUUUUCUUUUCCCCAUGAGUGGCUGCCUAAUGUGAGUGGGAUUUCAGUGGCUUUUUUGAAAUUUGCAUUAUUUCCUCCCUGCAGUCAGGACAUUCAGCACCAUUUGCCUGCCUGGCUGCUUGGCACAGCGGUGGCUCUCCGGUGAGGUUUUCCACCAGGUUUCCCAAUCCACACAACUGAGAUAGUUUGUUUUGGUAAUGGUAUCUGACAUGGGAUU